GGGGCUGUAGCUCAGCUGGGAGAGCACAACGCUGGCAGCGUUGGGGUCGAGGGUUCGAGCCCCUUCAGCUCCACCA
rnacentral:tRNA from 1 species